rnacentral:lncRNA from 1 species
CAAAAAAAGGUCGUGCGGCCGCGUAGGGCAGACUGACUGGGUAGGCCAUUUUAGCAUUUAAGCUCACACUUUAACAUGAAAAUCCCUAAGUUUUGUCCCUACUCAGUUGGUAAUUAUCAGCUUAUGCCCAUGCUUGAACAAGAGAAACAAUAGAAACUAAAGAAAUUAACCUAAUCAAUUUCUAAAAGGAAAAAUAGAAAUUAAGAAGUUAAACAAACAAAAUGUAAUGACACUAGUUAAGAAAUUCACUAAUAAUCAACAAGAAUCAUGGAGCGUUACCAGAAAAUAAUGAGAAUGAGAUGAAGUGCACAAUUGAGUGGAUGAAUAGUAGAGAAUUAGCUUCAAAAUGAAAUUUUGCUAAAAGGGUAGAAGGAUGACUUAGGCGUCUAUUUAUAGACCACUGUGGGGCUCAGUACUCACCUACCUGUGCGGCCUCACAAAAGUGGCAUACGGACCGCACAGGGUUUCCUCCUUGCACUUGAUGCCCACUUCUCAUGCGGUCCGCCUGGUUUUGUCCGCGACCGAGUGAGUAAUCUUCGGAGACUUGACUUUUCUGGCCAUUGUCACGCGGUCUGCCUGGUUUUGUCCGCGACCGUGUUAAUACUUCAUUAGAGAGUGGCCAUUUUUCACCUCUUCCAUCGCGAACCGCACAAGAGUGCCAUGCGGCUGCGUGGUACCCCUUAAGAUUAUUCCCUCGGUCAAUCAAGCCCAUGCAGACCGCACUUUUUUGUGGUGCGGCCACAUGGCACUGGACAGAUAUUGUGCAUUUUCCAUUUUUUUGCUUGCACUGAUUUAAUCUUAUCCCUGCAACACUCCGCAAACAAUCAGCUUAAAAAUCCCACUCUACAAAAGAAAAAUAAAGAAAAUGAAAAGUAUGGGCUGCCUCCCAAGAAGCGCCUGAUUUAACGUCGCGGCACGACUCGUGUUACCAUCAUGAUCAUUUCAAGUGAAGAUGUUCCACCACAUGGUUAUCAUCAAUUUUUCCCAAAUAGUGCUUGACCUUAUGCCCAUUUACCCGGAACACUACACCAUUCUUGUUUUUGAGGUCAAUAGCACCAAAAGGCGUAACACAAACCACUUCAAAAAGACCGCUCCACUUGGAUUUCAACUUUCCCGAAAACAACCUUAACCAAGAAUUGAAGAGAAGAACAAUAUCACCAACCUUGAACUCUUUUCCCCGGGCAUAGUUGUCAUGGAGAUACUUCAUUUUAUCUUUGUACAAAGAUGAGCUAAAAUAUGCAUGAAACCGGAACUCAUCAAGCUCAUUCAACUGUUCAACGGAGAUUGGCAGCGACAUCCCACUCUAAAUUCAACUUUCUCAAGGCCCACUUUGCUUUAUGUUCCAACUCCACCGGAAGAUGACAUGCCUUACCAAAAUCCAACCAACACCACAUGGCUAUCAUCAAUUUUGCCCAAAUAGUGCUUGAACCUAUGCCCAUUUACCCGGAACACUUCACCAUUCUUGUUUUUGAGGUCAAUAGCACCAAAAGGCGUAACACCAACCACUUCAAAAGGACCGUUUCACAUGGAUUUCAACUUUCCGGAAACAACCUCAACCGAGAAUUGAAGCGAAGAACCAUAUCACCAACCUUGAACUCUUUCCCCCGGGACAAUUUGUCAUGGAUAUACUUCAUUUUAUCUUUGUACAAAGAUGAGCUACAAUAUGCAUGAAGCCGGAACUCUUCAAGCUCAUUCAAUUGUUCAACCCGGAGAUUGGCUGCGACAUCCCACUCUAAAUUCAACUUUCUCAAGGCCCACAUUGCUUUAUGUUCCAACUCUACCGGAAGAUGACAUGCCUUACCAAAAACCAACCGAUAUGGCGACAUACCAAUCGGAGUCUUUAAAGGAGUACGAUAAGCCCAAAGUGCAUCAUCCAACUUCUUUGACCUGUCGGUCCUAUUUACAUUGAAGGUCUUGGAAAGAAUACUGUUGAUUUCCCGAUUCAAAACCUCAACUUGGCCACUCGCUUGAGGAUGAUAAGGAGUUGUCACUUUAUGGUUUACCCCAUACUUGGUGAGCAAAGAAUCGAAAACCCGAUUGGAAAAAUGAGAGCCACGAUCACUAAUUAUGGCACCGGGUGUGCCAAACCUAGUAAAUAUGCUCUUCUUCAAGAAAGCCAUCACUCUACGAGCUUCAUUGAUAGGCAAAGCAACGGCCUCAACCCAUUUCGACACAUAGUCCACCACUACCAAAAUAUAGGUGUUGCCACAAGAACUUACAAAAGGGCCCAUGAAGUCUAUCCCCCAAACAUCAAAAAUGUCGACCUCAAGAAUCGUGUUAAGGGGCAUCUCAUAUUUCUUUGAAACUCCUCCCGCACGUUGACACUCAUCACAUCUUUUCACAAAAUCACUGGCAUCCUUGAACAAUGAGGGCCAAUAAAAACCACAACUCAAUACUUUGGACGCCGUCUUCACCCCAUCAUGAUUGCCACCAUAAGGUGAAGAAUGACAAGCUUCCACAAUACUUAGUUAUUCUUCCUCGAGAACACACCGGAAAAUUACACCAUCAGUGUAAAUUUUGAAAAGAAAAGGCUCAUCCCAAUAGAAGUCCAAAGCAUCCCGCUUGAGCUUCUUCCUUUGGUUAGAAGAGAGCUCACACGGGACCACGCCGAUUACCAAAUAAUUUGCAAUGUUGGCAAACCACGGCAUGUAAAGCAUAGAAACUGUGAGGAGUUGCUCAUCCGGAAAAGAAUCAUUUAUCUCAAGGCCAUCUGAAGGCCUCCCUUCCUCCUCCAAACGAGACAACUGAUCCGCCACUUGGUUUUCACUACCCUUUGUAUCCACUAUCUCCAAGUCAAACUCUUGUAGAAGAAGCACCCAUCUCAUCAACCUUGCUUUUGAAUCCUUCUUACAUCAAGUACCUUAGGGCGGCGUGAUCGUUAUGAAUAAUCACUUUUUCCCCCAUUAGGUACGGGCGAAACUUCUCCAUAGCAAAUACAAUUGCAAGCAAUUCCUUCUCGGUGACCGUAUAAUUUCUUUGCGCCUCAUUCAUUUUCUUGCUAGCAUACUCAAGCAUAGAAACCGAGAGGAGUUGCUCAUCCGGAAAAGAAUCAUUUAUCUCAAGGCCAUCUGAAGGCCUCCCUUCCUCCUCCAAACGAGACAAGUGGUCCGCCACUUGAUUUUUACUACCCUUUCUAUCCAAUAUCACCAAGUCAAACUCUAGUAGAAGAAGCACCCAUAUCAUCAACCUUGCUUUUGAAUCCUUCUUAGUCAUCAAGUACCUUAGGGCGGCAUGAUCGGUAUGAAUAAUCAUUUUGGCCCACAUUAGGUACGGGCGAAACUUCUCCAUAGCAAAUACAAUUGCAAGCAAUUCCUUCUCAGUGACCGUGUAAUUUCUUUGCGCCUCAUUCAUUGUCUUGGUAGCAUAGUACACCGGUUGGAACAACUUGUUAAUUUUAUGGCCCAGACCGCCCCCCACUGUAAUAGUUACGGUCGAAACUUCUCUAUAGCAAAUACAAUUUCAAGCAAUUCCUUCUCGGUGACCGUAUAAUUUCUUUGCACCUCAUUCAUUGUCUUACUAGCAUAGUACACCGGAUGGAACAACUUAUUGAUUUUCUGGCCCAAGACCGCUCCCACCACAACAUCACUAGCGUCGCACAUGAGCUCAAAGGGUAAGCUCCAAUUGGGUGCGGUAAUGAUGGGGGUAGUCAUCAAUUUUUGCAAUAGAAGCUCAAACACCUCCAUGCACUUCUCAUCAAACACAUACUUUGCAUCAUUUUCCAACAAUUUACACAAUGCGUUUACUACCUUAGAAAAGUCUUUGAUGAAUCUCUAUUAGAAGAAUGUGUGUCCUAGAAAACUCCUCACCCCUUUGACAAAAAUAGGGGGAGGAAGUCUUGAGAUCACCUCAAUUUUUUCUUUGUCGACCUCGAUACCCCCCCCCCCUCUUUGAAAUUUUAUGACGCAACACAAUUCCUUCUUCCACCAUAAAGUGGCAUUUCUCCCAAUUGAGCACCAAAUAUAUGUCUUCACAUCGGGCCAACACACGAUCAAGAUUUUUAAAACAUUCAUCAAUGAGUCCACGGCCAUACUAAAAUCAUCGAUGAAGAUCCUCAAUAUGUCCUCUACCAUAUCAGUGAAGAUAGCCAUCAUACAUCUCUGAAAGGCCGCUAGAGCAUUACAUAGUCCAAAUGGAAUACGCGAGAAUGCGAAUGUGCCAUACGGACAUGUGAAGGUUGUCUUUUCAUGGGCCUCUGGGGAAAUGAGAAUCUGGUUAUAGCCGGAGUACCCAUCUAGAAAACAAUAGAACGCCCAGCCCGCUAGACGGUCAAGCAUCUGAUCCAAGAAUGGCAAGGGGAAAUGGUCUUUUCUUUUAACCUUGUUCAGUUUUCGGUAGUCGUGCAUACCCUCCAACCCGUCACGGUACGAGUCGGAAUCAUCUCAUUAUUAUCAUUGGUCACUACCGUUAUUCCUCCUUUUUUUGGCAAACACUGAACUAGAGAGGUCCACAAACCGUCAGAAAUUGGAUAUACCACACUGGCGUCAAGCCACUUGAUGAUUUCCUUCUUAACCACCUCUGCAUGGCCUCACUGAGUCUCCUUUGAUGUUCAAGAUAUGGCCUGGCAUCCUCCUCCAAUAUUUAUCUUGUGUAUGCAAAACGCAGGGCUAAUACCCGAAUAUCUGCCAAGGUCCAUCCAAUCGUUCAUUGAGUCUCCUUUGAUGUUCAAGAGAUGGCCUAGCAUCCUCCUACAAUAUUAUCUUGUGCAUGCAAAAUGUGGGGAUAAUACCCCGAAUAUCAGCCAAAGUCCAUCCAAUCGCCCACUUGCGCUUUUGAAAAAUCGCCAAAGUGGCAUCCACCUGCACGUUAGUCAAGCAAGCAGAAAGAAUAACCGGCAAAGUAAAAUUAGGACCAAGAAACUCAUACCUGAGGUGAGGAAGAAAUGGUUUCAACUCCAACACCGGUGGCUCCUCAGUGGAUGGUUUGGUGGGCGGAGUCUUGAAAUUUUCAAGAUCAAUAGAUAGCUUCCUCGGCUCAUAAGAAUAUGAGCUCAUGCCACGAAUUACAUUCACACACUCCACCCUUUCUGAAAUAUCAUCAACAUUCAUGUAUAAGAUCACAUCUUCAAGUGGGUCCUCGAUUUUUGCCAUUGAGCUUGUGUCAUCCACUAUCACGCCGUGAAAAUGUCAAAAAACGAGCACAUUUCGGUGCUAUUUGAUUAGCGCAUAGACUUGCAUACAUGGAAGACCACUUUUUCAUCACCAACGCGGAAAACCAAUUCUCCCGCCUCUACAUCAACCAAGGCCUUCCCCGUAGCAAGGGAAGGCCUCCCAAGAAUAAUAGGCACCUCGAAAUCCACCUCGAAAUCCAAGAUCACAAAGUCCGCCGGCAAUAUAAACUUGUUAACCCGAACGAGGACAUCAUCUAUAAUACCCAAGGGCCGCUUCAUAGAUUGGUCUGCCAUUUGAAGCCUCCUGGAAGUCGGGCGAGGUUGCCUGAUCCCCAAAGUUUUGAACACUGAAUAAGGCAUGAGAUUGAUACUUGCCCCCAAGUCACAUAGGGAUUUUGCAAAUCCACGCUUCCAGUUGUGCACGGUAUUGUGAAGGCACCGGGAUCCUAUAGCUUCGGAGCCAUGGAGUGCACAAUGGAGCUCACUUGAUGUGUCACCUUGAUAGUUUCGCACUCCAAAGAUCUCGUACUGGUAACCAAGUCCUUCAUGAACUUUGUAUAUCCAAGCAUUUUUUCAAGUGCCUCCACUAAAGGCACAUUGAUAGUCAAACUCUUCAUCAUCUCAAUAAACUUUUUAAAUUGAUUGUCACCCNNNNNNNNNNNNNNNNNNNNNNNNNNNNNNNNNNNNNNNNNNNNNNNNNNNNNNNNNNNNNNNNNNNNNNNNNNNNNNNNNNNNNNNNNNNNNNNNNNUUGAGGAUAUGGCGGAGGAGGCCUAGGUAAAGGUGCCUUGGCUUUUGGCACCGUAGGUUCCGGCAUGUCAAUGAUGUGUUCCCUAGAUGGUUUCACGACCUCUUGGGUCUCUUCCUCACCCUCAUCAAUAUCUAUUCUCACUUCAUUCCUCAAAAUUGGUUCAUCAAUAUCUUCAACCACUAAUGGGACAUCAUCCCGCAAUUCAUCAUCAUCGACCCUAGAUUGACUUUCUUGCACAUCACCCCCUCUCCCGCUACGCGUUUUCAAUGCCAUGACAUGAUUGUUGUGCCCACCCUUGGGGUUCACCACCGUAUCACUUGGUAGUGCACCCUUCGGGCGAGUGUUAAGAGAUUGUGAUAUUUGUCCAAGUUGCACCUCUAAGUUCCGGAUCGAAGGGUUGUGGGAGGCUAAUUGGGCAUCCGAGUCGUGAUUCCUCUUCAUCAUUUUUUCAAACAUGUUCCUAAUUAUACCCAUAUCUUGAUAUAUUGUGGGAGACUAAUUGAGCAUCCGAGUCGUGAUUCCUCUUCAGCAUUUGUUCAAACAUGUUCUCAAUUCUACCCAUAUCUAGACCUGGAGAACUCGACCCUUGAGAUUGGAAUGGGGAGGAUUGUUCGAUUGUUGAAACACCUGGGGCCUUUGAAAACCUUGCCUUCGAUUGCCUAUUGUUCCACGCACCGUUAUUGUUAUUGUUCCAAUUAUUGUUGUUUCGCCCCAAUUGCCUUGAUUACCCAAUUGUUACCUUGAUUACCUUGAUUUCCCCAAUUGUUGUUCCAAUUUCCACUAUUAUGUUGGUUCCACCAAUUGCCUUGGGAACGCCAUUGUUGAUUCCAUUGGUUUCCUCUAUUGCCUUGGUAAUUAUUCACAUAUUGGACCUCUUCACUUUGGUCAUCAUAACACACAUUCGAAUAACCAUUCUCAUCAUCAAAGUUGUCAAAAUUUUCCGGAGGCUGUUGUUGUUGCCCUUUUUGCCUUCUUUUCAUCAUACUCACUCCCUCCAUGGCAUUGACUUGGCGUGGAUUUUUAACUUGUUGAAGUUGUGCCUUAGCCAAUUGGUUCAUUGUUGUUGUAAGUUCGGCGAUGGCUUGAUCGUGAUCAUGCAACUCCUUAUGCAAGUGUAUAACAUUGGGAUCACCUUGAGGAACAUUAGCCCGGCUUUGCCAUGCCGAAGAAGUGUCGGCCAUUUUUUCGAGAACAUCACAAGCUUCGAUGUAUGGAAGCUUCAUAAAAUUACCACCGGCUAAUUGAUUAACAAUGCAUUGGUUAGUUCUAUUUAUACCCCGAUAGAACGUUUGUUGGAUCAUCACAUCAUUCAUAUAAUUGUUGGGGCAGACUUUCACCAUUGUCCGAAAUUUCUCCCAUAUAUCAUGUAAAGGCUCCGUCGGCUCUUGCUUGAAAGCUAGGAUCUCACCUCUAAGAGCCGCCAUAUGACUAGGAGAGAAGAACUUCGCAAUGAAUUUAUCUGCCAACUCAUCCCAAGUAGUGAUGGAAUGGAUUUGCAACCUCUCCAACCAAUCUAAUGCCUUCCCACGAGCUGAAAAGGGGAAAAGCCUUAGCCUCAGUGCAUCUUCCGAAACAUUCGUCUAUUUGCUCUCCCAACAUGUAUCCACAAAUCCUUUCAAAUGCUUGUAGGAGUUUUGGUCCGAAGCGCCUGUGAAAUACCCUCGUUGUUCGAGCAAAGUAAGCAUGACAUUGGUGAUUUGGAAGUUCCCCGCCCGAAUUCGGGGAGGAACUAUUGCACUUGCGUACCCUUGAUUGGGUAGAACUCGUGGAGCAACUCUUAGUGGAAGUGGAGGAGGGUCUUGUAUGUUGUCAUUAGCAUUAGAGGGAGGGACCAUUGCACUUGCAUACCCUUAAUUGGGUAGAACUCGUGGAGCAACCCUUGGUGGAGGUGGAGGAGGGUCUGGUAUGUGGUCAUUAGCAUUUGCAUUAGCAUUUCUACCCCUCCUUUGAGCUUGGGUAAAAUCUCAUCUUUUUCCACAUCUUCCACCUCCUCCACUUCAACAUUAAGAGGCUCAUUUGCAUUUAAAGCCAUUGGCACCUGAGUGAAAUUAACAAAAAAAUAAGUAACAAGAAGGAAAGAGAAGCAAAAACACACAACUAGCCAACAAAUAGUCAAAUGCCGUAAAGCUCCACGACAAGGCACCAAAAAGUGCUCGUGUCGAACUCAAUCCGAAGAAAGAGUGGGCGCGACAACUAAUAACCCAAUAGUAAAUCGGGGUCGUAAAUUCCUCAGGGAGCUUCAAGUUGGAUAUGAGUAAUUGUAUGGCUUAGAAAUGCGUUCUAACUUCAAAUUGGUCUUUUUUCAUUUUUAGGUUUUCGAUAUAGUUAUCAACUACAAUUAUCAACUACUAUUAUGAUCUAAAAUUAAGCUAAGAUGAUUCAUUCGAGAUUUAAAGAAUAAGAUAGAAGCACUAGGGUCGUGACACUCACCUAGGCGGAUAAUCAAUGAGUAUAGUAUUCUAACACAAGGAUGCUAAAAAUGGGGAAUAUCCGUUGCUCUUUUAGCACUCGCUCUUACUCCUAUAGGUAGAGAGAAUGAUUUUGCCUAAUUGACUCUCUUGAGACCAAUUGGGUAGGCCAAUUUUCCCAAGCAACACAAGGUUCAAGUAGGUUAAUUACUCUCUCAAGAUUUAACCGGUUACUUGGGACUACCAUUCUCAUGGGUCCAUCCCAAAUCCUUGUUGGGUUGAAUGUGAGGUCAUAGACUCUCUUUCUCAAGAAGAGUCAAGACCCANNNNNNNNNNNNNNNNNNNNNNNNNNNNNNNNNNNNNNNNNNNNNNNNNNNNNNNNNNNNNNNNNNNNNNNNNNNNNNNNNNNNNNNNNNNNNNNNNNNNNNNNNNNNNNNNNNNNNNNNNNNNNCUGUUUGCAACCACCAAAUCAAAGUGAAAACAUACACACAACCCAAAUACCAAACACCCAACAGCAUCCAAGAUUAGGUAAAAACACUCAUUAAUUGCCCACACUAGUGUUGAGUCACAACCUUAUCUGAUGGGUUUAGCUAGACAUGGAAGAAGUAGAAAAGGCAGAAAUAAUGAAAAAGACGAACGUAAUCAUUAACUAUAUGCUAAAUCUACUUGAAUCCACUUUAAUUACAAGAAUAAGUUGCCUGAAAUAGGCUAAUAUAAAAGCUCACGAGUGCAGCUAGUGUUCAGAACAUAAAACUUAACCUAAAAGAGUAAAGUGUUCUAUUUAUACUACUCAGGAAAACUGGACAAAAAUACCCCUGAGGGUCUGGUGCGGACCGCACAGAAAUGGUGUGCGGCCGCGUACAGCAAGGUGUCUUCACUUCAGUCGCCUCUGGAUAAGAGAUGUGGACCACAUCAAAAUGCAUCGCACCCGUGUAGGUCUUCGCAAGCGGACCGCAUGGAAAUGCAAUGCAGCCGCGUAGGUUGGUUCAGGCGGACCGCAUGAAAGUGAUGCGCAGCCGCACAAGAGGAAUUUGCAAAAGGUUGCUUCUAUGAACUUGUGCCCACGCGGACCGCUUGCUUUUGGUUUGCGGACGCGUGGGUCUUGUGCCUUGAAUGUCCUAGCCUCUGAAUCUUCAUCAAUGCGGACCGCAUAAAAGCGGAUACGGCCCGCGUGGGUUUUCCCUCAAAAUGCCAUGUCUCUGAACUCUUUCCAUGCGGCCGCAUCACAUAAACAGGCGGACCGCGCAGAAGGCAUGGUAGAUUGGUAAGUCUCUAAAUCUUCCUACGGAGCCGCACACCAAAACAGUGCGGUCCGCACAGGUUCUUAGUUUCCACUUUUUGUCAUCUUCUUGUCACUUGGAAAAUUUCACUCUUUCUUGAGCCGAUUUGUGAUUUUAAUUAUCUUGUCGCUCAAACUUGCAAUCAAGCGCAACUUGUAAGUAAUUCAGGACUAAUCAAGGUAAAUUAUGCACAAAGCUAAGGUAAGAAGGGGCAUAAAUCAUGUAUAAUUCAUAGUUAUCAGGCUAGUCCCAUAUCUAGGGUCUUAACGAACGCUACUAUGUAACGUCUCUUUAAUAAAUUACCUUUUCCUAUCAAAAAAAAUUUUGAAAUAAAUUUAAUUUCUCAUGAACAACCAAUUUAAAUUACAAUAAGCUUUUGAUUCCUUUGACUAUCUAAAACAAGAAAGCAUAGCAAAAAUACGAUUGAGAAUAAGAUUCAUUAGAUGCAAUUGAAGGUGUCUAAGUGCUGGGCCGAUUCAAUUUUUUUGACCCAUAGGGGUUCCGGUCCGGGCCGGUUCCGGAUUAUACCUUAAUGGGUUCGGGUUCAUACGAAUAAAAAUUGAACCAUACGGGUUACGGGUUGAUGGGCCGGGUCAGUCCGUAUUUAGUAUAGAUAUUGUAAGCUAUAUUAAUAUAACGUACUAACAUAAAGAAUACAAGGAAGAUGGAAAAAAAUUGCACUUAUUUCUAGUGCUACUUUUAUUUCUUAAUUUAAAGUUUCAAACUUACAAAAUGAAAAAUUUACAUUUUUUUCAAGAAGUAAAGUAGUAAAUUCAAAUAUUUUGCAUUGCCUUAGUAAGUUCAUCAUAAUUAAUAUAAACCGAUUGACCUUCUUCUGGAGUGUUAGAUUAGUAUGGGUUUUUAUGUUUUAAUAUAUUUUCAAGUUCCUCUUCUUCUGGGCUAUCAACAUCUUCAUUUCCUUGAUUUCUUUGUUCCGAUCUAAUUCCAUCUCUGAAAAGUACUUAAACUUGCAAAGCAUUGCUUCUCAAUGAGUGGCAGGUGUCUCCAAGUUGUUCUAUUGCUUGGAUAAAUGCACUCUCCGAUGCAACUGUAGAAAUUGACACAUUCAGCACGUCUCGAGCCAUAGAGAAAAGAACAGAAAAUUUUUUUUCAUUCUCAUGCCACCAUCCCAACGGUGAAAAUUUCUUUGUGCGAGGCUCUUUUUGUUUCUGCAAGUAGGAUUGAAGUGCAUCAAUGUUCCUACUACUGGUUUGAGUGUUAGAAAAUAUAGAAAAAAUAUUAAAACUAUCAAGGCCUUCUUUAUCAUCCACAGUUGCAGAAGUUGUACAGUGCAAGCUGGGAUUAACGUUGCCCACAUUAAGAACAGAAUCAUCAAAUACAUUUGCAUACCUUCUUCAUCAUCCACAGUAGCAGAAGUGGUACAGUACAUAGUGGGAGUAACAUUGCCUACAGUACGAGCAGCAGCAUCGCAUUCAUUUGCAUAAUAAUUAUAUAAUUGUUCGAAAUAUUCAUUUAGCUUGUUCAUAGAGACAUAUAAAGUUGGAAUUUCAGUUUCUCCAAUAUAAGUAUAUAAGCAUUCAUUAAUUGGUGACAAUUAGAUAUCUUAAUAGAAAAUUUAAAAUUGUACCAAUUAAGUAAAUAGGAGGAAUUGAAAAGAAAUAUUUUUUGAAUUUUUCUUGCAUUUUUUCAACAACAUCCUUAUAUUUUUCUUUCUAUUCAGAUAGUAGAAAAGAAAUUUCAGCUAUAUGUACUAAAGGCAAAUAUGCUUCAGAAAACUCAAGAGUAGCUACAUAAAAUUUAUGUAAAAAUUUAACAAUAUCACUAAUGACCUCCCAAGUAACACUUGUUAACAUAGCUUUGUAUCAGUACAAUGCGCAUUAGUAACUUCAGUUAUUGGGAAUCUAUAUUUGUAGCAAUAUUUCAAAAAUAUAUAUGAAUAAUUCCAUCUAAUAACUAUUUCGUCUGGCAUGAUUCUAGAUUUAAGGUUAUACUGAACACACUUAUUAUUAAAUUCCUUUAUUCUAGAUUGUCUAUUAUUUCCUUGAAUAACACCAACUGCUCUUUUAACAUGAGUAUUCUCAGUUGCAAAUAAAUCAAGAAUACUUUUAAAAAUUAAAUUAUAAACAUGACAUGCACACCUAAUAUGAAAAAUUUCAGCAAGAGGUGGUUGCAAAUGCGUUUUUAAUAUUGAAAUUGCGGCAUUAUUUUUAGAAGCAUUAUCAAAAGACAUACACAAUACUUUUUUGUUUAGAUUAUAAAAUUCAGCAACUUAAACAAUAGUACUAUUUAUAAACGCAGCAGUAUGACUCUGAUCUUCAUCAUAUUUAAGAGCGAUAAUACGUUUUUGCAUACAAGUAGAAUCAUCUAUCCAAUGGCAUGUAAUUGUCAAAUAAUCAUUUUCAUUAACAGCAUGUCCAAUAUCAUAAGUUAGACAAACUUUACAAGAAAGGUGGCUAAACAAAUAACGUAUGUAUGUUUGAUAUUGUCCAUGAAGUUUAAAGAUAUCAGCUCUACAAAUACUUCUAGGGAUACCUUUAAAUAAAUGAUUGUAAAUCCUUUGAAUAUACAUAAUAAGAUAUGAUGAAGAAGCAAAAGAAAAAUGUAGAAAACCCAAAGUAAUCAUUUUUGUUAACUCCUUACGAUCCUUCAUUUUAUCAUAUUUCAUUAGACCUCCAGUAGGUAGUUACUGCUUGUUAUUAUUGCAUGCGACUGUAUUUAUGUUUCCUAUGUUUUCAUAAUUNNNNNNNNNNNNNNNNNNNNNNNNNNNNNNNNNNNNNNNNNNNNNNNNNNNNNNNNNNNNNNNNNNNNNNNNNNNNNNNNNNNNNNNNNNNNNNNNNNNNNNNNNNNNNNNNNNNNNNNNNNNNNNNNNNNNNNNGCUUUUCAUUUUAGCCUAUGCGCCGAGGGUCGAUUGGAAACAGCCUCUCUGCCCUUUCGGGUAGGGGUAACGCUUGUCUACAUAUUACCCUCCCCAGACCCCACCUGGUGGGAAUAUACUGGGUAGUUGUUGUUGUUGUUGUCAUUAGACCUCUAGUAGUAUGGUUAAUAGUUGUUUGAUUCUCAUCACCAUCAACGCCCCAUUCUAUGGGACGGUCAACUCUCAUAUGUCUACUAAGCGUCUCAGUCCUCCCUAAUUUUCCUCCAGUCAAAUAUUUAAAAUUAUCGUUACAAAUUUUGCAUCUAACUCUAUCAGUAUCUUCUAUUAUUUCAAAAAUAAUUCAAACCUUAUUUCUUUUUCUACGAUUAGUAGUCGGAGCCACGGAUAGUCUUCUACUAGUGCCACGACCACCACACCUUAUACCAACUCUAAACACUACCGGCUCCAACUCUAGUAAGUGUAGCUGGUAUCUCAUUUUCCAUUCCUAUUUCAUUAUCUUCUAUUCCAAAAUCUUCUUGUAAUUGUUCAUAAUCUAUAUUAUCAUUAGGGGAUGUUUCGAAAAUAUGUGUAAAUUGGGUAUUACUAUUACUACCAUAUGCUGAAGGACAAUCUCUUUUUUUAUUUUUCCUACCAGUAACUUUUUUACAUGCUUUUUUAGCAGCAUUCAACAUAUUAUAAAAAUUAAAGUAUAAGCUAAAAUUAAAUAUGCAAUUAUGUAAAUAAAAGAAAGAGUUGGAGAGAGUGCACCGAAUUCGACAAUAAAAGUAGCAUUUGAUUAAACAAUUCUGAUGUUACCAUGAACAAACGUCAACUCGUCAAGCAAGUAUUUCAAUUUUGAACUCCAAUUGUUCACAGUUGAAACUUCAAACUUCAAAUUCCGAAUGAAAAAACACGAUAAAUUAAAUUCAAAAAAAGUUAGCCAAACAAAAUUAAAAGAUUAAAUAAUGAAUUGAAGUAUUGCAAAUUAGAGAAUGAGAGAAAUUGACAUUGAGAUAUGAGAUUUGAGUGACAAGAUAAAGAAGAGGGGGGAUGGGAUAUUUAUAGUUUUAAAAAUGGUUAAUUUUAUAAAUUCAAAAAGGGUUAAAAACUUAAAAUUAAAAAAUGGUUAUUUCAUCAAUAGAUUCAUUGGCUAAUGGAUCAAAUCUUAAAUUUGACCAAACCAACGAAUAGUGGGCCCCAUCUAUUGAUGAAAUAGUCGGUUCGGUAGCGGGUAAGCCCGGCUGGUAAGACAGCUUUAGAUGCAACACAAUAUUCCGACAUAUGAUGUUGGGCCCUUGCGGGCUGGCAUUUACUAGUAAAAAGAAAAGCAAGGCUUAACUAGAAAAAAAAUAUGAUCAUUUGCAUCUAUAUUCAUUUUUUGUGUCACAUUUUAAUUUGUGUUUGCUUUGUAAAAAAAAUGACAAGUGUACCCGCUUUUUCACAUAACUUCAGCACACGAAGCUGAAGUAGCAAAGUCAAUUAUGCAAAACUUCAGCAUUUUAGUAGUCGGGUCUGAAGUUCAAUUCUAAAGCUGAAAUUUUUGUAUUGUAACAGCUAAAAUUUUAUUGUUGUAGCUGAGAAACUUCAGCUCUAAUGCUGAAUUUUUUGUAGAGCUAAAGUUCCGCUUACCUCUUCCAUUUCCUUGGCACCAUUUUGAAGAAAAUUUCAGUCAGAUGUAGGAGAUAUUGCAACAACCAUUUGGGUAUUAGCUUCUUGUUUUUAUCACAGCCGAAAAGUUCAAGACGACAGAGAUGGAAAAAAGUCCCAACUGAAGGCAAAAAAUCUCCGAACUCUAUCUUAACAAGACCAAUGAAUCCUUUUAAGUUAUGCAAACUCGUUCCGUCAAGAUAAGUGAGUCCAAGAGCUGCCAACUUUCCUUCUAACCUAAUUAAGAACACUAUACCAUUAGAAUAGUGGAUUUCAAUUUUCUUCAUUUAUACCGCAUAAAGAUUAAAAUUGAAAAAAAAAAAGUUAACUUUUGGACUAAAACUACAACAACUACCCAGUAUAUUCCCACCAGGUGGGAGUCUGGGAAGGGUAAUAUGUAGACAAGCCUUACCCCUACCCGAAAGGGCAGGGAGGCUGUUUCCAAUCGAUNNNNNNNNNNNNNNNNNNNNNNNNNNNNNNNNNNNNNNNNNNNNNNNNNNNNNNNNNNNNNNNNNNNNNNNNNNNNNNNNNNNNNNNNNNNNNNNNNNNNNNNNNNNNNNNNNNNNNNNNNNNNNNNNNNNNNNNNNNNNNNNNNNNNNNNNNNNNNNNNNNNNNNNNNNNNNNNNNNNNNNNNNNNNNNNNNNNNNNNNNNNNNNNNNNNNNNNNNNNNNNNNNNNNNNNNNNNNNNNNNNNNNNNNNNNNNNNNNNNNNNNNNNNNNNNNNNNNNNNNNNNNNNNNNNNNNNNNNNNNNNNNNNNNNNNNNNNNNNNNNNNNNNNNNNNNNNNNNNNNNNNNNNNNNNNNNNNNNNNNNNNNNNNNNNNNNNNNNNNNNNNNNNNNNNNNNNNNNNNNNNNNNNNNNNNNNNNNNNNNNNNNNNNNNNNNNNNNNNNNNNNNNNNNNNNNNNNNNNNNNNNNNNNNNNNNNNNNNNNNNNNNNNNNNNNNNNNNNNNNNNNNNNNNNNACAAUCGCAGGCAAUAAAAUCGUGCAGUAACUAUCAUAACUAACAGCCACAGGAGGGCACACGCUAACACACAAAUCAUCUAUGAGAAAACCUACUGACAUGCGAAGGACUCUAGGAACUCCUAACCUACAACCCUGAUUCUGGACCUAAUAAACUGCAAAAGGAAUCCAGGUGGAUUCGAACCACCGUCCUCUCAAUUGGACACGAUUGAGCGCUCCCCCAGAGGCCGAGCUCUUGGAUCCAUCAAACCGGUAACUCAAGUUCCAAUAACACCAUUAACUAACCGGGCAACCUUAUAUUGUGAUAAAAAAUGACGUCAAACAAAUAUUGCAUUUACUUAAAAGUUCCACUUGACAGUCUUAACCCUUAUCCAUUCUAAAAAAUAAUGGCGCUUUCCACCUUUAAUACUCUGCUCCGUCUCAUAUUAUUUGAUAUUUGAGGUUAUUUUUAGUUUGUUACAAAAUAUAUGACACAUUUCCUUAUUUUUCUCCCUUCGUGAAAAACAUUUAGCCCUUAUUUUUUAAGAUCACAAAUUUUAGAAGUAUACUCCAUAUUGGAAACGAACGGAGUAACCAUUUAGACAUUGACUACUUUAUUCUACUUCUAACACGAUUUCAGAGUUUAUGACAAUUUCACAAUGCUACAUGGUCAAGUAGGAGUGACUCAAUUCUACUUUAAUUUUCACAGCAUGAUUUCAAAGUUGUAAACAAUAGAAUAUGUUUAGGACAGACCAACUGCAUAAGUAAAUUUUGUAAAGGGGUAAAGAUCUUUUACUAAUUUUAGCAGGUACCGGAAAAAUAGAAAAUAAAUACCACAGCCAACCAAAAAGCCACCAUAUAACAUUAAGUAGAAAGAUCAGUAAACCAGUCCUACAAAUUAUCACUAGUUUGAAAUAUUUCCAAGAAAGCAAGUACUCCUUUCAAUGCAAACAUUAAAAAUAUCCCAAAUUAAUUGCUUACUUCAGUACACUUCCCAUUAGAUUUUAUUAAUUGAGCAAGUGAAAGUAUAAAGUAGUGAUGAACUACAACAUCUGGCUAUAAGGAGAAAAUUUUGCAGCUUUAAAUAGUCAAAUUUCAGCCACCGAAGACCAAGAAGAAAUUAUCAAAUUUAUGAAACAUUUCUCUAUAACAUCCGUAUGCUCUCUCUAUCGACGUACGUACACUAAAACAGGACCAUUUGAAAGAACUAGAAUUUGGCAGUUGCUAGGAGUAAGAGCAAUAUAACCUGUAAUAAAAUAACUAGUUAGCAUAUAAUAAACUACCAACAAUGGAUACUAAGCAUGACAUUACCUCUACAAACGAUCAAGACAACACAUGUACCAGAUGUGGAUAUUUCCUUGAAGUACAUCUUCAGCAAAAAAGGAAUAAACUUCCACAACCUACUAAAUUGGCACACGAUAGCAGAUUUUUUGAAUACCCAGGCAAUAGAAGAAAUCUCCAAUAAAGGCAUGGUAAUAACCAGUUCUUUUUUUUUUGGUAACAACCAGUUUUCUAUCAUCUACAAAAGUUGCAAUAUCCAUUUCCUAAGAGAUAGCAAAAAUUUAUAUAGAUCCAAGACAUAUAAUAAAAUUAAAGUGGUAAGACUCCCUUGCAGGUAUCAGGAUGAUGCUGGCUUUCUUUAAGAGCAGCAACGUAAACAUUGAAACUUCAAAUUUAACCCUACGGCUCCAGCAAUAUACCAAACAAUCUGGACGAGCUAAAGCCACUAAGGCGGCAACACUUUGAAAGAAAUCAAAACAAAUAAAAGAAGCCUCAAUUUCAGACAGCUAUUCCAACUGACCGUAAUAACAGAGCGUACACAACUGACACUUAAGCAGUAGAAUAUCACCUUUCUCACCGUAAUUCAGUAGCAUCCCAAGGUGGUUGAUCAGCUCAAGGCAGAUACACAUAUUGAUCUUCAACAAAGUAGCUAGCACCAUCCCAAAGCAAGUGGAGGGAAAAAUGACAUUCUAUCCAAAUACUGAAACAUAUUUGAGUACAUACAUAUUCACCCCUCCAAGACUACAAAAAACUGCACUCGGACAAAACGUCCCAUUCAAAUUCACUAUUACAUUACAACAGGACAGAGAUUUUCCCACUAGUUCUACCAAUCAAUAACUGACUAUUGAAACUCUAUCAUGACAGACUAAUAAAAUAAUAGGAAGAUAGUGAACCAUUUGAAUAAAAAAUUCCACAUUACACAUUCGAAUGACUUGCAAAUGAGGUAGCAUUGUAAAUCAUCGGAAAUAUAAACAAGAGAUGAGGUAACGGAUGAUUCACAGGGUUAACAAUCUCAUUUUUUAAGAACCAACUAGGAUGUAUGCCGCACGCCUGUCAACCCAAGUGAACAUCAUAUUUGCAAAACCUAAUUUUGAAAAACAAAUUUACCCGUUCAAAAACGCUAUUAAGUUAUCCAAGUUGUUGUUGUUACCAAAUGUAGAAACAUUUUUCUUGCAAAAGAGUUGAUUAUUAUACCCAGCUAGAAUGUCGCCCCUGUAAUCUUGCACUGUACUAAUCAUUAAAGAGCAUUUAUUUUUAAUAAGUAACUCAUUAGCCCAUAUCGCUAGCUUGGAAUUAAUAGCUAUAUCUCAUUUUUGACAAUUAGAUCAAUACUGUCAUCGUAGUCUAAGAUGAGCAUUACAAAAUUUUAAGGACUGCUAUGUGAAAGACUUACUCAUGGAACGGCAAUAUGCUAUAUGCUAAGUUAAACGUAAAUGUUAGUGGAGGGAAUUCGUUCUUGUACCUUUGAUUGGAGUGCUGGAGCAGAUUAAUCCUAGCAUUAGCCUGACCGAAGUCAAAUUUAAGAGAUGCACAACUCACUUGCCCUUGAAUAACAGACCACCAUUCAAAGGGCAAGUAUCCAACAAUCUGAUGUGACGUUCUUGGUGGUAUUGAUCUUGCGCAUAAUAUCUACAGAACAAGGAAGACAACAAAAGACAAAACAGACGCAGAGAGGAGCGCCAGACAAAAACCCUGUGCCAUCUCCUCUCCAGAAACAAAAUAUAGAAACUUUAUUGGGUAUUGUGACCUGCCAUGCGAGCGCACCCAUCAUGGCAAAGGUCGGGGAACAACAACAAAAAACCCACAUAUCCUCUCUUUUUCUCUAUGACAAUACAACUAACUCGUACAUAUGCAUGCGUAUCAGAAAGGUUAAUGUUCAUCAAUGAUGCAACUCAUAAUAGACAACAAAUUAAACAAUGAAACCUUUUCUAACAACCACAACCUCGCCGAUUACCAUCGGUUAAUCCACCCACAGUUCGACAGUUGGAGCAUCAACCAGAUCUGAUUAGUCAAGCAGCUCUACAGAACAGAUAUAUGGUCAAUUUGAGCCGCGUGUAGAAUCAAAUCUGCAGCAAACAAAAACACCACAACAGAUGUCAACAAAUAGAAUUUGGUCCAAAACGGUAGAUAAAUGCAAAAAUAAUAGAAACAAAUAGGCUAAUCGACAGAACCCAAGCAGCAAACGAUGAAACAUCCAAUCGACUUGAAUAACCAGAUUUGGUUGCUUUGAAACAAAUAACAAGAAGACAAGAGCUACUCUUCCAAAUUAUGAAACUUUCAUCGACUCAUUCCUCAAAAUCAAACGGUCCGUAACAAAACCUCCGGCCCAACAAUCAAAAAGCCGAUCUCCGAUGGAACUCGAAACCAUACUCAAAUGGUAGAUCAGCGAACGAUCUACACAGAUCUGAACACAGUGUCAAAAGAAGAGAAAUGAUAAAGAGCAGAUCUGAAGAGAAAAGAUCCACGGUGGAGGCGGAAGAGAUUGAAAAUGGGAUGCGACUUGAUGAAGAGGUCAGGCGUUAUUUUAUAGUGGGUUAGGAUGAUCGGACGGUUU